rnacentral:rRNA from 1 species
UUAGCGGUGGAUCACUUGGCUCGUGGAUCGAUGAAGAACGCAGCUAGCUGCGAUAACUAGUGCGAAUUGCAGACCCAUUGAGCACUAAAUUUUCGAACGUACAUUGCGCCAUCAGGACCAAUAAUUCCUGCUGGCACGUCUGGUUGAGGGUCGGUU